rnacentral:rRNA from 1 species
AACCGGAAUUUGCUAUUGCCCACAUGUGUUUUUCUUUGAAACAAACUUGCUUUGGCGGUGGGCCCAGCCUGCCGCCAGAGGUCUAAACUUACAACCAAUUUUUUAUCAACUUGUCACACCAGAUUAUUACUUAAUAGUCAAAACUUUCAACAACGGAUCUCUUGGUUCUCGCAUCGAUGAAGAACGCAGCGAAAUGCGAUACGUAAUAUGAAUUGCAGAUAUUCGUGAAUCAUCGAAUCUUUGAACGCACAUUGCGCCCUCUGGUAUUCCGGAGGGCAUGCCUGUUUGAGCGUCGUUUCUCCCUCAAACCGCUGGGUUUGGUGUUGAGCAAUACGACUUGGGUUUGCUUGAAAGACGGUAGUGGUAAGGCGGGAUCGCUUUGACAAUGGCUUAGGUCUAACCAAAAACAUUGCUUGCGGCGGUAACGUCCACCACGUAUAUCUUCAAACUUUGACCUCAAAUCAGGUAGGACUACCCGCUGAACUUAAGCAUAUCAAUAAGGCGGAGGAA